GGGAUGGGAAGAGUGGAAGGAGCAGAAAUCACUGUCAGGAUGUAAUGUAUGAGCAAAGAAUAAGGAGAAACUAAACAAAUUAGGAUGGACGUCAGCCUCAGUCUGUGAGCCAGAGCAAACCCUUUCUUCCAGCAGUUGCUUCUAUCCAAUAUUCUGUCACCGUCAGAUCUAUGUCACUAACAUAGAAAGCUGAUACCCAAAAUGGAGCAGUCUCUAUCAUAAAUCUGACCUAUUUGAUAUGAGUUAUAUGAUUAAUCAGAUAAGUUCUGAGGCCUUUGAGGCUGGCUUGCAGGACAAACGUGGAAGGGUUUGGAAUGUGGGGCUAGCAAACAGGUAGAAGGCUGUGAACAGAGUUUGCCAGGACUUUCUGCCAGGAGUUUAGAAGACCAGAAUAUAGGGAGAAGUGUAGAUCAUGGAGACUGGCUCCUGAGAUUCUAGAGGGGUACAGAGAUUCCACCAGGAAAUCCUCUAAACAAUUCGUGUUAUUUUCUGGUGAGCAAUCUGGCUGUAUCUUUUCUAUGCCCUGGGGAAUUAAGAGACAUUAAUUACUAACUCAGUGGAUUAAUUUUUUGGUAGAGGAAAUUUCAAGAAAGGAUUGUAUGUGGGUUGAGGUUAUGGCCCCAGCUUGCUCCUCUCACCCAACACGCAUGGGAAGCCAUGCCUUAUGAAAAAUGCAAAUUUGGUUGAAAGACAUGGGCUAAACCGUGACUAGCACUGAAGAGAAGGUUCCUGACUCAAAACCCACAGCCUGUGAGGGAUGCUGUACGGCACUGUGGUCCUACAUUCUGAGAUGACAACACUUCACAGUCUCAGCUGCAUGGACAAUACAAGAUUGAGGGGUUCAUGAAGUUUAGGGCCAAAGUCCCUGAGAGCCACUAACACCACGACAGGGUUGGAGUUCCUGCAAGGAGGCUCUGAGAGGCUGUGGCAUGAAGCUGUGAAAGUGAAGUCUGAAUUGAGAUUGUGAUUUUGCUGCAGCAACAAGAAAGAGCAUAGUGGAAAGUUGAGAGCUUUUAGAGACGCAUUUCAAGUUCCUAAUCAGCUUACUUGGAAAGAUUAUCGUAAAUGGAUCUACCCUGACUGCAGAGAACAUUAAGUGGAUCUGGACCUUUGCUGACACUGAGAAUCUGGAUCCACAAGAAGAAGCAAGCUGUUAUAAAUGCUACAGCCAGAAGAAAGGAUGAGAAUUCUGUUCUGCCCUGAGGGCCCUCGUGAACUUAUCCUUCUAGAUUCCAGCCCUAGCUUAGAGCUCAGACUGUUCCUUACACAAUGGUCUGGGCAUAGCACCCCUUAAGCCAUGCCUGGACUGACAGAACUAAUAUAUAUUUAAAGCCGUGUCCUGAGUGACUGGUGUAUUGUAAGCCUCUGUGUGGCAGCAGCUAGCUAAUGUAGCUGUUGAGCCUAUUUUAAGAGACUCUCUUCACCAUUAAAUUGUCACAGUCACAUUGCUCUCAUCCAUCUGGGUCACUCCCUGCAUUUAAAAUCAGUGUUCCCACCUCCCUCCUGUUCUUCCCAUUCCACUACCCAAAUGUCUCCUGAGGACACUUCUUACAAACACAGUCCCAAAGAGGGUGCCUGAUAUCAGGAUUUUCAAAUGCUUGAAUGCACAGUGAUUUCUUACUUUUAUGCAUGUGGGUAUUGUGUGUGCAUGUCUGGGUGUGUGCAGGUUCACGUGUGUACAUAUGCAUGUGGAAGCCUGGGUACAACCUCAGGAGUCAGCCUCAGAAAUGACAUCCAUCUCAUUGGCAAUGAGGUCUCUGGUUAACCUGGAAUUCAUCAAAUAGGCUAGACCAGCAGACCUGUAAGCCCCAGAAGCCCUUGCCUCUGCUUCCCCAGGACUAGGAUGACAGUUGCUUUUAUAUGCAUUCUGGAGAUUGACUGCAUGUCCUUGCAUUUGCAAAUGAAGCACUUCACCAACAAACUAUCUUUCCUUUGUCCUCAAAUUUAGGUGGUUCUCUGACAACCAAUCCUUUACCAUUCUAAACAUGGCUGCCGUGUGGCCUGCUCUCCCAGCCCUCUUGCUGUAUGCACGCAACCUGCACAACCCAUGUAAAAUCUUACAGACUCUUCUGGUCAGCCCAGGAGUUAGAACUUCUACCAGGAAAUGGUGACUUA
rnacentral:sRNA from 1 species